rnacentral:rRNA from 1 species
CCUACGGGAGGCAGCAGUGAGGAAUAUUGGUCAAUGGACGCAAGUCUGAACCAGCCAUGCCGCGUGCAGGAAGACGGCUCUAUGAGUUGUAAACUGCUUUUGUACGAGGGUAAACGCAGAUACGCGUAUCUGUCUGAAAGUAUCGUACGAAUAAGGAUCGGCUAACUCCGUGCCAGCAGCCGCGGUAAUACGGAGGAUUCAAGCGUUAUCCGGAUUUAUUGGGUUUAAAGGGUGCGUAGGCGGUCGGAUAAGUUAGAGGUGAAAUCCCGAGGCUCAACUUCGGCAUUGCCUCUGAUACUGGUAGGCUAGAGAGUAGGUGCGGUAGGCGGAAUGUAUGGUGUAGCGGUGAAAUGCUUAGAGAUCAUACAGAACACCGAUUGCGAAGGCAGCUUACCAAGCUACUUCUGACGUUGAGGCACGAAAGCGUGGGGAGCAAACAGGAUUAGAUACCCCAGUAGUC